rnacentral:rRNA from 1 species
AGGGCACCACCAGGAGUGGAGCCUGCGGCUUAAUUUGACUCAACACGGGAAAACUCACCCGGCCCGGACACCGUAAGGAUUGACAGAUUGAGAGCUCUUUCUUAAUUCGGUGGGUGGUGGUGCAUGGCCGUUCUUAGUUGGUGGAGCGAUUUGUCUGGUUAAUUCCGAUAACGAACGAGACUCUGGCCUAUUAAAUAGACGAGAUAUUAAAAAGUAUAUCGCACUUCUUAGAGGGACAAGCGGCGUCUAGUCGCGUGAAAAAGAGCAAUAACAGGUCUGUGAUGCCCUUAGAUGUCCGGGGCUGCACGCGCGCUACACUGAAAGAAUCAGUGUGCGUUUUACCUAGUUCGGAAGAACCGGGUAACCCAAGUAAAUUCUUUCGUGCUUGGGAUAGGGAAUUGCAAUUAUUUCCCUUAAACGAGGAAUUCCCAGUAAAUGCGGGUCAUAAACUCGCGUUGAUUACGUCCCUGCCCUUUGUACACACCGCCCGUCGCUGCCCGAGACUGAGCCAUUUCGAGA